rnacentral:rRNA from 1 species
UACGGAGGGGGCUAGCGUUGUUCGGAAUUACUGGGCGUAAAGCGCACGUAGGCGGCUUUGUAAGUUAGAGGUGAAAGCCCGGGGCUCAACCCCGGAAUUGCCUUUAAGACUGCAUCGCUUGAACACGGGAGAGGUGAGUGGAAUUCCGAGUGUAGAGGUGAAAUUCGUAGAUAUUCGGAAGAACACCAGUGGCGAAGGCGGCUCACUGGACCGUUGUUGACGCUGAGGUGCGAAAGCCAGGGGAGCAAACGGG